rnacentral:rRNA from 1 species
AGGUUAAUGAGGCGAACCGGGGGAACUGAAACAUCUAAGUACCCCGAGGAAAAGAAAUCAACCGAGAUUCCCCCAGUAGCGGCGAGCGAACGGGGAGGAGCCCAGAGCCUGAAUCAGUGUGUGUGUUAGUGGAAGCGUCUGGAAAGGCGCGCGAUACAGGGUGACAGCCCCGUACACAAAAAUGCACAUACUGUGAGCUCGAUGAGUAGGGCGGGACACGUGGUAUCCUGUCUGAAUAUGGGGGGACCAUCCUCCAAGGCUAAAUACUCCUGACUGACCGAUAGUGAACCAGUACCGUGAGGGAAAGGCGAAAAGAACCCCGGCGAGGGGAGUGAAAAAGAACCUGAAACCGUGUACGUACAAGCAGUGGGAGCCUCUUAAUGGGGUGACUGCGUACCUUUUGUAUAAUGGGUCAGCGACUUAUAUUCUGUAGCAAGGUUAACCGAAUAGGGGAGCCGAAGGGAAACCGAGUCUUAACUGGGCGUUAAGUUGCAGGGUAUAGACCCGAAACCCGGUGAUCUAGCCAUGGGCAGGUUGAAGGUUGGGUAACACUAACUGGAGGACCGAACCGACUAAUGUUGAAAAAUUAGCGGAUGACUUGUGGCUGGGGGUGAAAGGCCAAUCAAACCGGGAGAUAGCUGGUUCUCCCCGAAAGCUAUUUAGGUAGCGCCUCGUGAAUUCAUCUCCGGGGGUAGAGCACUGUUUCGGCAAGGGGGUCAUCCCGACUUACCAACCCGAUGCAAACUGCGAAUACCGGAGAAUGUUAUCACGGGAGACACACGGCGGGUGCUAACGUCCGUCGUGAAGAGGGAAACAACCCAGACCGCCAGCUAAGGUCCCAAAGUCAUGGUUAAGUGGGAAACGAUGUGGGAAGGCCCAGACAGCCAGGAUGUUGGCUUAGAAGCAGCCAUCAUUUAAAGAAAGCGUAAUAGCUCACUGGUCGAGUCGGCCUGCGCGGAAGAUGUAACGGGGCUAAACCAUGCACCGAAGCUGCGGCAGCGACACUAUGUGUUGUUGGGUAGGGGAGCG